rnacentral:lncRNA from 1 species
GUUGAGGAUUUCUGCAUCAGCCAUGGGCUGGAGCUGACAGUGCUUUCACAGGGGGCAGGCUGGGUGUUCCAUCUUUGCAGGACAUCCUUUGUGUGGCCCAGCUGUGAGACGCUGCCUCACUGGAGCAGGUGCUUCUGCUUUAGGGAAAACAGACCAUCGAUGGCCAGCAAAUGAUGUUUCCUGUGGACACACUAGACUACUGUUUGAACACUGUCCUGUAGAAGGCACAGACUGAGAUGCUGCGUCAACAGCGCAUGCCUGUCUUUGUGACUGGCUGCAUUAUAGAUCCUUCCGAGCCUGUGUGCCACGCUGGAAAGCUGGAUCUAAGAGUUAAGAUUUACUGGCUUAAAAGCGUGCGUGUCGUGGGAUUUCGAGGUGGCUCACUGCUGUGAAAGCUGUAUUCCUGGAACAGUGACAACCUCUGCCUCCUCUAAGAUCAUGGCCAGCUGAACCCACCACAUCACUGAGACUGGCAAUAAAAAAGGU